AAAAAAAAAGCACUUGGGAGGGGAACCACAACUGGAAAAGGUUGCUAAUACCCCGUAGGCUGAUGAGCAAAAGGAGGACUCCGCACGCGGAGGGGCUUGCGUCUUAUUAGCUAGUUGGUGAGGUAAUAGCUUACCAAGGCGAUGAUCCGUAGCUGGUCCGAGAGGAUGAUCAGCCACACUGUGACUGAGACACGGCCCCGACUCCUACGGGAGGCAGCAGGGUGGAAUUUUCCGCAAUGGGCGAAAGCCUGACGGAGCAUUUUUUUUUUUAAAUAGAACGGCCACGACCGAUAAAUACACUCGUU
rnacentral:rRNA from 1 species